rnacentral:rRNA from 1 species
CCUACGGGUGGCAGCAGUGAGGAAUAUUGGUCAAUGGUCGGGAGACUGAACCAGCCAAGCCGCGUGAGGGAGGAAGGUACAGAGUAUCGUAAACCUCUUUUGUCAGGGAACAAAGACUGGGACGCGUCCCCGGAUGAGUGUACCUGAAGAAAAAGCAUCGGCUAACUCCGUGCCAGCAGCCGCGGUAAUACGGAGGAUGCGAGCGUUAUCCGGAUUUAUUGGGUUUAAAGGGUGCGCAGGCGGUCUGUUAAGUCAGCGGUCAAAGCCCGGGGCUCAACCCCGGCCCGCCGUUGAAACUGGCAGUCUCGAGUUGGAGAGAAGUAUGCGGAAUGCGCGGUGUAGCGGUGAAAUGCAUAGAUAUCGCGCAGAACUCCGAUUGCGAAGGCGACCUGCUAGAACAUAACUGACGCUGAUGCGCGAAAGCGUGGGGAGCAAACAGGAUUAGAUACCCUAGUAGUC